rnacentral:tRNA from 1 species
CCGGAGUAGCUCAGUUGGUAGAGCAGAGGACUGAAAAUCCUCGUGUCACCAGU